rnacentral:rRNA from 1 species
CCUACGGGAGGCAGCAGUGAGGAAUAUUGGUCAAUGGGCUUACGCCUGAACCAGCCAAGUCGCGUGAGGGAAGACUGCCCUAUGGGUUGUAAACCUCUUUUGUCAGGGAGCAACGCCGGCUACGUGUAGCCGGACUGAGAGUACCUGAAGAAAAAGCAUCGGCUAACUCCGUGCCAGCAGCCGCGGUAAUACGGAGGAUGCGAGCGUUAUCCGGAUUGAUUGGGGUUAAAGGGUGCGUAGGCGGAAUGCCAAGUCAGCGGUAAAAUCGCGGGGCUCAACCUCGCUCCGCCGUUGAAACUGGCGUUCUUGAGGGGGCGAGAAGUAUGCGGAAGGCGUGGUGUAGCGGUGAAAUGCAGAGAUAUCACGCAGAACUCCGAUUGCGAAGGCAGCAUACCGGCGCCCAACUGACGCUGAAGCACGAAAGCGUGGGUAUCGAACAGGAUUAGAUACCCCUGUAGUC